rnacentral:rRNA from 1 species
UACAGAGGUGCCGAGCGUUAGGCGGAAUCACUGGGCUUAAAGCGUGUGUAGGCGGAUGCCUAAGUACCUUGUGAAAUCCCACGGCUUAACCGUGGAACUGCUCGGUAUACUGGGUGUCUUGAGCCACUUAGGGGUUACCGGAACAAAUGGUGGAGCGGUGAAAUGCGUAGAUAUCAUGUGGAACGCCAAUGGUGAAGGCAGGUAACUGGGAGUGUGCUGACGCUGAGACGCGAAAGCCAGGGGGGCGAACGGG